GAUAGUAGCAAUACUAUGCUGCUAAGUGGCGCACGGGUGAGUAAUAUAUAGGUAACAUGCCCUUAAGAGGGGGAUAACAGAGGGAAACCUUUGCUAAUACCCCAUAACCCUUCUUGUCAUAAGAUGAGUUGGCAAAGUUUUUUCGCUUAAGGAUUGGCCUGUAUUGUAUCAGCUUGUUGGUGAGGUAACGGCUCACCAAGGCUAUGACGCAUAACUGGUCUGAGAGGAUGAUCAGUCACACUGGAACUGUGACACGGUCCAGACUCCUACGGGAGGCAGCAGUGGGGAAUAUUGCACAAUGGGGGAAACCCUGAUGCAGCAACGCCGCGUGGAGGAUGACACUUUUCGGAGCGUAAACUCCUUUUCUGUUAGAAGAUAAUGACGGUAUAACAGGAAUAAGCACCGGCUAACUCCGUGCCAGCAGCCGCGGUAAUACGGAGGGUGCAAGCGUUACUCGGAAUCACUGGGCGUAAAGAGCGUGUAGGCUGUUUAGCAAGUCAGAAGUGAAAUCCUAUAGCUCAACUAUAGAACUGCUUUUGAAACUGCUUAACUAGAGUGUGGGAGAGGCAGAUGGAAUUUCUGGUGUAGGGGUAAAAUCCGUAGAUAUCAGAAGGAAUACCGAUUGCGAAGGCGAUCUGCUGGAACAUUACUGACGCUGAGACGCGAAAGCGUGGGGAGCAAACAGGAUUAGAUACCCUGGUAGUCCACGCCCUAAACGAUGUACACUAGUUGUUGUGGUGCUAGCCACUGCAGUAAUACAGCUAACGCAUUAAGUGUACCGCCUGGGGAGUACGGUCGCAAGAUUAAAACUCAAAGGAAUAGACGGGGACCCGCACAAGCGGUGGAGCAUGCGGUUUAAUUCGAAGAUACGCGAAAAACCUUACCUGGCCUUGACAUUGAUAGAAUCCGAUAGAGAUAUU
rnacentral:rRNA from 1 species